GAGAACUGCUCUGUGGUUUAGGUAGUUUCAUGUUGUUGGGGCUCCACCUUCCUCUCUACAGCACGAAACUGCCUUAAUUACUUCAGUUGAU
rnacentral:pre_miRNA from 1 species